UUUUUUAAUCAUUAGCCUUAUGCAGCUCUCAAAGCUAGAGAAUAUCUUGAUAAGCUUGCAAUACAUGAGACAAUGGUGAAGGUAUGUAGAUUAUAUCUUAUAUUUCCUACACAAAUAUAGACAACUGUAUGCUGAUGUCAUUAUGCAGGUUAGCGCUUAUCUGCUUGGAUAAUACAGCCAUCUUUUGGCCAGACGACCUGGGUGUAGCCCAAAGGACAUUUUUGUCAUUAUACAUGAGAAGCUUCCUACUGUAUCGACUCCAACAAUAUCCAUUCUUCUCUCAACAUACGCAAAGAUUUUGAUGCACUCUCAACCACCAGAUCCCGAAUUACAAAACCAGAUCUGGGCAAUAUUCAGCAAAUAUGAAACAUGCAUUGAUACUGAGAUACAACAAAGAGU